GUAAGAAUGUCAGGUAAGAAUUCCUUAAGUAAGAAUCUCCCAGGCUGGUAGAGCCUUGGUAGGUGCACAUGAUGAGUUACUUGGUUGUUUCUAAUGCUCAUCAACAUUUGAGGACAGUCCUUCCUGGAACCCCAACUCUGGGCCCCUACAGAGCGGCACAGGGAAGUGAUAGCCUUGAUCUGCAUUGCUAACCUUUAAAAGAACCAUCUGGCUGGUCCAUUUCCGCAUCUACUCUAACGAUGCUAAGAGGGAGGUCUUUGGCAAAAUUACACAUCAUCUGACUUACAAUGACUCUCAGAAAAAAUAUUUCUCCCGUUCUUUUAUCCCAUCUCAGGCUAUCACUUCUACUGAAUGAGAAGCACAGGGAAGAGGACUCUCUGAGGAGCCACCUGUCAGAACUGUCCAUUUGGGCAUCAGUUCUGAGUCUGGGGGAAUCAAGAUGCCAUGUUGCCCUUUGGAAAGACCCAUGUGUCAUGGCAAGGGGAAGAGACCCUCAGUCCAACAACUUGCAAGGAACCGAAGGACCUACAUUCACCACAAGUGAACUUAGAAGUGGAUCAUUCAGCCCCAGCCAAUGGUUUGACUACAACCUCAUGAGAGACUUCAAUUUGGAAACACACAGUCAAGCACUUCCCAGAUUUCUAACCACACAAAGUAUAAAGUAAUAAAUGUUGUUUUAAAUUGCUAA